AAAAAAAUAAUAAGUGAAAAAACAAAAUGGCCGCUGUGUGAGUAACUGAAGACUUCCGGACAAUUUAAAUAUGAUAUUUGAAUAUGUUUUUACCCAGGAACAAUGCCCUAGAGUAGGGAGUUCGUAAACACUCUGUAUAACAAUGGUUAUAUAGUUAAUGUACUGUGGACUAGACAAUUAUCAUUAUUAUUAUUAAUCCGUUUGGACCCACCUUUUCCAAUUCUGAUGAUAAUAAUUAUUGUGGUAAUGAUUAACAAUAACAAUUAUUAUUUGUGAUCUCAACAAAAAAUGUAUUUCAAUGUUUUGUGAUAUUGUCAAAUAUUUUAAAAGAAUGGUAUUCCAUUUUCUCUAACCUCAGCAUCAUGUACCUCAAAAAAUAUCAACAUUCAUUCUAUUUCCUCGCUGUCAUAAAUUGUAAAACUAAUUCUAACGGAUCAUUGAAUCAAAUUUUUAGGAUUUGCAGUUAUUCUAAUCUCGUGUAUUUAUUGCAUUUCUCAAAAGCUAGAAGUGCCGUAUUCAUAUUGAAUUUAAAACAAAUUUUCUACCUUUCAAUAUCAAAAUAUAAGUAAAUCUAUUUUAUUGCCCCUGUAUUCACUUUUGCUCAGGAUAAAUUGCCACCCAUGUUUUAAGAUUAUUCUAUCAAUUAGUUUUCCUUUUUUUUGGAUUGGAUGCUAUUUUAAAAUGACUACACAUCUAUUAUACUAUUCAGAAUUCAUUUUUUUUAAUGGUAUUAGUACAAUAUUGAAUUUUAUGAAGCAUUUUUGCUAUAACAUAAAUUUAUUUCUAGUUGUAGGCCUACCUUUCUAUCCUAAGCUUUUAUUUAUAUAUUUUUCAAUAACUCUAUACUAUGUAAAAUAUUAACGGUUACUUGAAAUUACAUAAUAUUGAGGAGGUUAACGUACUCGAAAUUCAGAACUUUUUGAAUAUGAAUGCUAUAUUCCAAAGUAUAUAAUCACUUAUGAUUCAAGUGAUUCGAAAGAGUUUUCAUCUUCAAUCUGUCAAUACAAUAUACAAAUAAUGAUGAUCCUCACUCUAUUAUACUCUGUAUACUAUAGGCAUUGGUAAAGUUAUACCAAAGGUAAUAUUGUCUAUUCCGGAUAUUGCCACAUAGACAAUAUUGUCCCUGUCAAUGCUAUUUUUCAUCCUUCAAUUGUCAUUAUUUGACAUUAUCAUUAUCAUAGAUUGCUAGUUAUUUUGAAACAUGAAAUAAAUCAGAACUUAUAAAACGCAAGUUUCACUCAUUUAAGGUAAAAGUAAGUUCAUAACUAACUGUCAAUAUAUAAAUCAUUUUCACUUUUUUCAGAAAUAUAAAUUAUACGGUACCGUACUGUAAUAGCCGUAUCCCAACUGUAUCUAGUAUCUAGCCUAUUGCAAUUUUUAUAAUAAUUGUAGUAUCACAAAGAAAAUUUAAAAACAAUAUUAUACUAUUUGACAGCAGUGUAGAUCAAAAGAUGUAAUUUCAAACUUGUAAUCCAAGUAUAGUAUUUUUACAAGAUAAGUGAAUUAGUGACGAAAAUAUAUUUCGGUUUUGAGAAGAUUGCUCCAUUUUUAUCCUCUAAUAAUAAUAAUAAUGUUAACGAAAUUCUGUCAGUCAUGUCAAUUUAAUAAGAGACUGGGAAACUGAAUGAGUAAUGUACUGGUUUUGUAAGGAAUUAUCAUUCUUAAUGAUACCGUAAUUAUAAUAAUAAUAUAAGAUUUAAGAAAACCACCAAGUCCAUAUAAAUAAAUGUAAUCUAUUUCAUUCGGUUUUUCUACUUCUGGAGAUUUAUAGCUGAUAAUGAUGUUGAAGUAAAAUACCUCUUAUGAUUGGAUUGAAUGAAUUGUAUUCAUAAUUGGAUUAAAACACUAAUACCAGAAUAUUAUGAUUUUCAAUUGAAUUGAUGUAAUUUCACCAAGUCUGUCGAAAAAGUUAUUAUUCAUAUUAUGACUGAUACUAAGGUUAACAAUAUUUUUCCUCCAUCUACUGUCUAAAGUUGUGUUUUACUCCCUGAAAGACAAUCUAAAGAUCUAUAAUUACAAUCUAAGACUUGAAGGAUUACGGAUUUAACGAUGUCUACGAUAGUUGACUAGUCGUUGCUGCCUUCAGUGAGAUCUACAUUAUCAAGUCAUCAUCAUAUUAAUUACUUGCUAUCCUUGUAUAUCAUUAGGCAGACCAGAUAGCUCUAUAUUCACUGUUGCCAAACUGUCUGCAGGCUAUAAAGAAAUAUAAACAACUGCCAGAAUAUUUAAUCUCAAUUAUGAAAAUAAUGUAUUAUCAAAUCAUGAAAAAAUAUUGUCUUUUUGAAUAAAGAUAGCAUUGAUAAUUAUUAUUAAGAAUAAACAAUUACCGGGAUGACUUGAAUCUCAUUUAUCUACUAUAGAUUGCGAUGGAAUAAGAGAAUUUAUUGGCAAUCAUGCUAUACUAUUACCACUGACUUAACAUGAAUCUCACCAUAAUAAAUAAAAUCAUAGAAUCAGUGCAUCUACAUUCAUUUAAAAUAAAGAUGAUGAUGAUGAAUGUACUAGUAAUAAAUAACUACAUAAUUUAUUAAAAGUCGUUUGAAAUUAUAAUUUAAUUAAUAGAUUGGACAAGGGUUGACAAAAGUACCAAAGCUUGAAAGUACAAUCAUCAAUCUAGAUGGUAGGAAUUUUGAAAAGCGUUGCAAGAGAGCUGAACUUGUACUCAGUGGAUGAUCUGAGUUAAAGCACAGGUCAGGAUCUAACUCAGAUUUAGAGCACAGGCUCUAACUCAGAUUUAGAGCACAGGCUCUAACUCAGAUUUAGAGCACAGGCUCUAACUCAGAUUUAGAUUUAGCGAUUUAGAAAAGCAUCUAAUUCUGGGGAGAGAAAAAUCAACUUGUAUAAAGGAAGGGGUCCACCAUCUAUUACAAAAAUAUAUUAAUGUAAUUCUGUAAACCCUAAUUGCUUAUUAUCUUAUCGAGUAGGCCUACCAUUUAUUGGGAAAAUUACCUUAACAAGAGGCCAAUUUUUAUAUUAAAUUUGAAACUAUUUUUCAUUCUAUGUUGUUCUUACUUUUACAAGUUGCAGUACAUCAAUAGUCAUGUAAAAACCAAUAAGUUAUCGAUUUUAUGCCUAUAAAAAUAUUGUCUAAUGUUCAUUAAUAUUUCAAUCAAAUGUAUGCAUACUAAGGAGGGUAAAGGAAACAUGAUUAUGUCCUAGGUAUAUUGUUGUUUAGUAUAAAACUGUUAAUGUUAUCAAACACAUAGUCCAAUCCUACUUAGGUACUUAGCUACCGAUCUUUAUUCAGAGUUUAUAAUUUCUCUAUCAAAAUUCGGUAACUUUACCUUUUCUCAUUUCAUUUGUAAAAUUUACUAAACUAAUAACUGGUGAAUUAAAGUGAAUUUGUUAUUUGUGAAUGAAUUCAGUUGUAUUUAAUUAUUACUGUAAUAAUAUGAUAAUUAUUAUUUCAUGCAUUGGAUCUCCAAAUUUGUGUAAAAUGCAAUUAUAUUAACUUAUACCUGUGAAAUAUUUGAUUGAUAAUAGGUUGAUUCAGGUAGUGAAUUACAUUUUAAUGUAUAUUAUAAGUAUGUGAGUAGAUCGUUAAAUUAAGUAGUUUUAAACGUCAAAAAAGAAAAGGUUUCAGAAAUAUUCAGUAGGACCGGAACUGUAUAACACUGACUGAUGAACGUGCAUUAGCUAGAUAUUUUGUCAUUGCUUCAAUAGCUGAAUAUUUUCUGAAGAGAAACAAUGUGAAAUUUUGUUAUGUUUUUUACUGCCAAUAAAACUUACCAAUUAUA